CUACGUGCCAGCAGCCGCGGUAAUACGGGGGGUGCAAGCGUUAAUCGGAAUUACUGGGCGUAAAGCGCACGCAGGCGGUCUGUCAAGUCGGAUGUGAAAUCCCCGGGCUCAACCUGGGAACUGCAUUCGAAACUGGCAAGCUAGAGUCUUGUAGAGGGGGGUAGAAUUCCAGGUGUAGCGGUGAAAUGCGUAGAGAUCUGGAGGAAUACCGGUGGCGAAGGCGGCCCCCUGGACAAAGACUGACGCUCAGGUGCGAAAGCGUGGGGAGCAAACAGGAUUAGAUACCCUGGUAGUCCACGCUGUAAACGAUGUCGACUUGGAGGUUGUGCCCUUGAGGCGUGGCUUCCGGAGCUAACGCGUUAAGUCGACCGCCUGGGGAGUACGGCCGCAAGGUUAAAACUCAAAUGAAUUGACGGGGGCCCGCACAAGCGGUGGAGCAUGUGGUUUAAUUCGAUGCAACGCGAAGAACCUUACCUACUCUUGACAUCCAGA
rnacentral:rRNA from 1 species